rnacentral:tRNA from 1 species
GAAGGUAUAGCUGAGAGGUAGAGUGCGUGCUUAGCAAGCAGGAGGCCCUGGAUUCAAUCCCCAGUCCCUCCA